rnacentral:rRNA from 1 species
GAUGAACGCUAGCGACAGGCUUAACACAUGCAAGUCGAGGGGCAGCAUAAAAGUAGCAAUACUUUGGUGGCGACCGGCGCACGGGUGAGUAACGCGUAUGCAACCUACCUAUCAGAGGGGGAUAACCCGGCGAAAGUCGGACUAAUACCGCAUAAAACAGGGGCACCGCAUGGUGAUAUUUGUUAAAGAUUAAUUGCUGAUAGAUGGGCAUGCGUUCCAUUAGGUAGUUGGUGAGGUAACGGCUCACCAAGCCGACGAUGGAUAGGGGAACUGAGAGGUUGGUCCCCCACACUGGUACUGAGACACGGACCAGACUCCUACGGGAGGCAGCAGUGAGGAAUAUUGGUCAAUGGGCGAGAGCCUGAACCAGCCAAGUCGCGUGAAGGAAGAAGGAUCUAUGGUUCGUAAACUUCUUUUGCAGGGGAAUAAAGUGGAGGACGUGUCCUCUUUUGUAUGUACCCUGAGAAUAAGGAUCGGCUAACUCCGUGCCAGCAGCCGCGGUAA